rnacentral:rRNA from 1 species
UACGUAGGGUGCAGGCGUUAAUCGGAAUUACUGGGCGUAAAGCGUGCGCAGGCGGUUUGCUAAGUCAGGUGUGAAAUCCCCGGGCUUAACCUGGGAACUGCGCUUGUUACUGGCAGGCUUGAGUGUGGCAGAGGGGGGUGGAAUUCCACGUGUAGCAGCGAAAUGCGUAGAGAUGUGGAGGAACACCGAUGGCGAAGGCAGCCCCCUGGGCUAACACUGACGCUCAUGCACGAAAGCGUGGGGAGCAAACAGG